rnacentral:rRNA from 1 species
CUACGGGUCGCUCCAGUGAGGAGUUUUGCGCAAUGGGGGAAACCCUGACGCAGCAACGCCGCGUGAGCGAAGAAGGCCUUCGGGUCGUAAAGCUCUGUCAAGUGGGAAAAACGUUUUCCGGUGAAUAGCCGGGAGAUCUGAUGGUACCAUUGAAGGAAGCACCGGCUAACUCCGUGCCAGCAGCCGCGGUAAUACGGAGGGUGCAAGCGUUGUUCGGAAUUAUUGGGCGUAAAGAGCGUGUAGGCGGUUUAGUAAGUCAGAUGUGAAAGCCCCGGGCUCAACCUGGGAAGUGCAUUUGAAACUGCUUUACUGGAGUAUGGGAGAGGAGAGUGGAAUUCCUGGUGUAGAGGUGAUAUUCGUAGAUAUCAGGAGGAACAUCUGUGGCGAAGGCGACUCUCUGGACCAAUACUGACGCUGAGACGCGAAAGCGUGGGUAGCAAACAGGAUUAGAUACCCCCGUAGUC